rnacentral:rRNA from 1 species
GGUGCAAUUGCUUUAUGGCGGCGACAUCCCGGCGCACGAAUGGUUGUUUUCAUAUUAGCGGCGUACUCUGCAACAGUGGCGUUAUUCUUCUUCAGUAGCCGUUUCCGCCUGCCCGUCAUGCCUUACUAUUGUCUGUUGGCUGCCGCCGGACUGGCCUGGGUUUGGAAGCAGCGUCUCCGACGGUUCGUUCUCGUUGCCGGGGCAACGGCAGCAAUGCUCGG